CGGCCUUCGGGCGGUUAUUUUUGAACAAGAGUUUGCCCGCGGCCUAUUUUUGGCACACAAAGGCCCCUUGCAAAGUCUCGCGGCAUUCCGAGUUCGGCGGACGAAGUUGGCCAGCCCCACCCCCCAAGGCUAUAGCCCACCCGUUUUUGUGGCCUUUUUCCGCUGGACGAACUUGGCGCCCCAGCCUUCGGGGGGUUAUUUUUGGGCAAGGCUUUGCCCGCGGCCUAUUUUUGGCACACGGAGGCCCCUCGCAAAGUCUCGCAGCAUUCCGAGUCCGGCGGACGAAGUUGGCCAGCGCCACCCCCCAAGGCUAUAGCCCACCCGUUUUUGUGGCCUUUUUCCGCUGACCGAACUUGGCGUCCCGGCCUUCGGGUGGUUAUUUUUGGGCCCGGCUUUGUCCGCGGCCUAUUUGUGGCACACGAAUGCCGCUCGUAAAGUCUCGCGGCAUUCCGAGUCCGGCGGACGAAGUAGGCCAGCCCCACCCCCCAAGGCUAUAGCCCACCCGUUUUUGUGGCCUUUUUCCGCUGGACGAACUUGGCGCCCCGGCCUUCUGGCGGUUAUUUUUGGGCGCGGCUUUGCCCGCGGCCUAUUUUUGGCAAACGGAGGCCCCUCGCAAUGUGUCGCAUCAUUUCGAGUCCGGCGGACGAAGUUGGCCAGCCCCACCCCCCAAGGCUAUAGCCCACCCGUUUUUGUGGCCUUUUACCGCUGGACGAACUUGGCGCCCCGGCCUUCGGGGAGUUAUUUUUGGGUGCGGCUUUGCCCGCGGCCUAUUUUUGGUACACGGAGGCCCCUCGCAUUGUCUCGCGGCAUUCC
rnacentral:lncRNA from 1 species